CUAAGUGGGGGUGGGUUAUUGUAUUUUGAUUUCGCGUUUCGCUUUUGAAGUACAUUGUGGUGUAAACUCAUUUGUGCAAGAUCAUUUCGCGUUUGUCUAUAUUUUCUGUUUGAUAUCCAAACCCAUAAUUGUGAUUUCAUUUUAAAAACUGUAAUAACAGGCUUAUAGUUUGUAACUAGAACAAUGGAUGGCCAGUGUUGUCCGUUGGCAUGGCUGUAGAG
rnacentral:lncRNA from 1 species